rnacentral:rRNA from 1 species
UACGUAGGGUGCGAGCGUUGUCCGGAAUUAUUGGGCGUAAAGGGCUCGUAGGCGGUUUGUCGCGUCGGGAGUGAAAUCCACUGGCUUAACUGGUGGCUUGCUUUCGAUACGGGCAGACUGGAGGUAUGCAGGGGAGAACGGAAUUCCUGGUGUAGCGGUGAAAUGCGCAGAUAUCAGGAGGAACACCGGUGGCGAAGGCGGUUCUCUGGGCAUUACCUGACGCUGAGGAGCGAAAGUGUGGGGAGCGAAUAGG